rnacentral:lncRNA from 1 species
GGACCGGCACGGCGCGUGCGUAGAGCUGUCAGCCGCACCCACGCCGCGCCUCUAGCAAAGUUGCAAAGCAACGGACAGACCUGUCAGAACCGUGAAGGUCCCGGCGACCGAAGAAAGGCGAAACCGCUCCGCGUGGGCUGUCCGGAGUGGCAUCGCGCCUUGUUCGAGUCCGAAGAGGUUCCCGCUUCUCUAAGCCGGCUGAAGGGAUGCGAGUCUCCUUCUCUUGUCCCACCGGGAGUGCGUCCUGACACCGAGUGGACUCCGCCCCAAGAGUGGGAGCAUCCUGAACGUUCAGAGGGCAUCCUGGGCCGUGGAAGGCAUUCGGCCACACCCCGCUCUUCGCCGGUCCCUCACCCGCCAACGCCAGCCCAGGUGGUCAGGCUCAGAAUGGACUGUGAGCCUGUGUGUUAUGGAUCUCUGGUUGUAGAGACAGAAGGACAAACAUGGAAGCCACCAAGGAUGCUGCCAGCUGAAUGAGUUGUUGCUCUAUGGCUUGCACAAAGUCAAGUGAAUGAUCUUCCCACGUUAUGUAAUAUAUCAACGGACUGCUUACCUUAACCCCUUUAAUCUUGAUUAUUCUGGAAAGUAGAACUUGAAACAAAAAGUAGAUACAUUCUACAGGGAAUAUGACCCUCAGAGAAGGAAAGAAAGACAGAGGGGUUAAACCUGAACACGUGAAAGAGAAUCCAAGACUUUCCCUAAGAGACUGUUUCCUGUUCUGAUGAUGCACUAAUGACAGAAAUCAUAUGACUAAUGGAGAGAAACUGGUAGAUAUACAAGAAGAAAUGCAUUGGGAUAACCGCCUUCUUACAAAGGUACGAAUCUAGGCCUAUUUCUGCCUUUGGACCAUGUUGUACAUUUAGUGUUUGGGAAGAGAGAAAUCAUCAAAGGUGCACCCAAAGAAACAUCUGAAUGAAAGCUCAGUGGCAUUUGCUUUUCCCAAGGAUCAGCAUCAUGGUUUCAGGUUUAACACACUGGAGAAAUACCUAGCCUCCAUGUCACCCCCCUACAUCCACGACACUCCCUCAGGAUCACCAGUGAGUAGCACUUCUCAAAGAGAAAGCAGUAGAGUUUAUUGCUGCUGAAAGUCUCUGAAUAAAUACACGUUCCAAAUCACAACCUGAAAAGGCUCCAGAAAGAAUGCACAUGGUCUAAAAAAUGGAUAGACUGGUGUUCCAUGCCCUGUCUUGUUACCCUGAGACAUGAUGUUGGGUAGAGUUGGUCUAGAUACAAUAUUUGCAGGUGCCUACGUGUAGGGGUCUCACACUGCCAUAUACAGUCAUUAUAGUGUCAGGAGAUAAGGAAAUCUCUUUUUGGUGCAGCUGAGAACAUUAGAAAAAUAAUUGCAACUGCCUUCAGACCUAAGGGACUCUCUAGAGAAAUACAGUGUGACCUCUGAAAAUGCUUUAGGUUCUGUCAAAUAUCAACAUGGAGAUCCAUAUCAGUGAUUACCAAAAAGGCCAGUAUUCAUUGUUCUUGAAGCUAGUCACAGAUAGAGAUCAAUCAAGAGUCAAAUACUGUAUCACCUAACCAUUUAGAGAUUGGAUGCAGCCCUGAGUGUAAAGGAAGUACUGUGGACCCCUUCCCCCAUGAAGGUCAUAUGUUCAAAUCUCACCCCUCCCAAAGGUGACAAUAUUAGGGGGCCGGGACUUCCAGGAGUGAACAGAACAUAUUCCCUUAUUAAAAAGGCUCAAGGGAGCUCACUUACCCUUCUGUCAAGUGACAACAGUCAGCUGCUGUGAGCAAUUAAGUGUGUUCUAGCCACUGACGCUGUCAGUGCCUUGAUCUUGAAUCUUGAAUUUUCUAGCCUGCAGAAAUAUGAGACGUUUCUGUUACUUAUAAUUUACUCAAUAUUUAGUAGGUGUUCUGUUAUCUUAUUUUAAAAUACAGUGCCUGUAUUUAUUCUGAAAGUAAAGGACUUUGGGUGUGUGUGUGUGUGUGUGUUCACAUACAUAGCAUAGACAAUAUGUAAGAACUGUGUUCAGUUUUGGAAAAAAUAAAGCCAUGUUGCCAUACA